rnacentral:rRNA from 2 species
UCGAACGAUGAAGCCCUUCGGGGUGGAUUAGUGGCGAACGGGUGAGUAACACGUGGGCAAUCUGCCCUUCACUCUGGGACAAGCCCUGGAAACGGGGUCUAAUACCGGAUAACACCGGCUUCCGCAUGGGAGCUGGUUAAAAGCUCCGGCGGUGAAGGAUGAGCCCGCGGCCUAUCAGCUUGUUGGUGGGGUAAUGGCCUACCAAGGCGACGACGGGUAGCCGGCCUGAGAGGGCGACCGGCCACACUGGGACUGAGACACGGCCCAGACUCCUACGGGAGGCAGCAGUGGGGAAUAUUGCACAAUGGGCGAAAGCCUGAUGCAGCGACGCCGCGUGAGGGAUGACGGCCUUCGGGUUGUAAACCUCUUUCAGCAGGGAAGAAGCGAAAGUGACGGUACCUGCAGAAGAAGCGCCGGCUAACUACGUGCCAGCAGCCGCGGUAAUACGUAGGGCGCAAGCGUUGUCCGGAAUUAUUGGGCGUAAAGAGCUCGUAGGCGGCUUGUCACGUCGGGUGUGAAAGCCCGGGGCUUAACCCCGGGUCUGCAUCCGAUACGGGCAGGCUAGAGUGUGGUAGGGGAGAUCGGAAUUCCUGGUGUAGCGGUGAAAUGCGCAGAUAUCAGGAGGAACACCGGUGGCGAAGGCGGAUCUCUGGGCCAUUACUGACGCUGAGGAGCGAAAGCGUGGGGAGCGAACAGGAU